rnacentral:rRNA from 1 species
UACGUAGGGGGCAAGCGUUGUCCGGAAUCAUGGGGCGUAAAGAGCGCGUAGGCGGCCCUGUAAGUCCGCUGUGAAAGUCAAGGGCUCAACCCUUGGAUGCCGGUGGAUACUGUCGGGCUCGAGUCCGGAAGAGGAGUGUGGAAUUCCUGGUGUAGCGGUGAAAUGCGCAGAUAUCAGGAGGAACACCAAUGGCGAAGGCAGCACUCUGGGACGUGACUGACGCUGAGACGCGAAAGCGUGGGGAGCAAACAGG